rnacentral:rRNA from 1 species
CCUACGGGAGGCAGCAGUGGGGGAUAUUGCACAAUGGGGGGAACCCUGAUGCAGCGACGCCGCGUGGGUGAAGGAGUGCCUCGGCAUGUAAAGCUCUAUCAGCCGGGAAGAAAAUGACGGUACCUGAGCAAGAAGCCCCGGCUAACUACGUGCCAGCAGCCGCGGUUAUACGUCGGGGGCAAGCGUUAUCCGGAUUUACGGGGUGUAAAGGGGGCGUAGACGGCAGUGAAAGUCUGGAGUGAAAGGCGGGGGCUCAACCCCCGGACUGCUCGGGAAACUGUAAGGCUGGAGUGCAGGAGAGGUAAGUGGAAUUCCUGGUGUAGCGGUGAAAUGCGUAGAUAUUAGGAGGAACACCAGUGGCGAAGGCGGCUUGCUGGACUGUAACUGACGUUGAGGCUCGAAAGCGUGGGGAGCAAACAGGAUUAGAUACCCGUGUAGUC